rnacentral:rRNA from 1 species
UACGAAGGUCCCAAGCGUUAUCCGGAUUUAUUGGGUUUAAAGGGUGCGUAGGCGGACUGUUAAGUCAGUGGUGAAAGCUCCAUGCCUAACAUGGAAAAUGCCAUUGAUACUGAUAGUCCUGAGUACAUUUGAAGUGGGCGGAAUGUGUCAUGUAGCGGUGAAAUGCUUAGAUAUGACACAGAACACCGAUUGCGUAGGCAGCUCACUAAACUGUAACUGACGCUGAGGCACGAAAGCAUGGGGAGCAAACAGG